AUUUGAUUUGAUUCUGAAAACCUCUAGAGGGACGUAAAACUCACUUUGUAGAGAAAAACUUUGUUCCGGAAAUCAAAGCAGUAAGUCUGAGUUCAACUCAAAUUAUAGACAUAAUAAUAAUAAUAAUAAUAAUAAUAAUAAUAAUAAUAAUAAUAAUAAUAAUAAUAAUAAUAAUAAUAAUAAUAAGUUACGACAGCGGAAGUCCAAAGUUCUUGAUAGUCACGUGACGCACGGAAGUUACCGGAAGUUUUCAAAGAGUUGUUGGAUUCUGCAACUACGGAGAGACAAAAUCUGCUAUUUCUGGUUCUGCUGCUGAAGAACACAGAACGUCUCCAACAUGAGCAGCAGCGUUUCAGACUUGGGCAUCUCCAUAUCCGGUGAAUCCACCACUGAGUUCUCCACAUCUGGACUCUCUCUAAAGACCGACCGCUCAAAGUCACCACGUCUUUACUUCAGAGAUGAACAAAUCUCUACGAGUAUUCCCCCAUCAGCAGUAACUCCAGGCAGCCGUGGCCCUACGCUCUGGUCUCGGCACCUCUGCAAUAAAAGCCGGCUUCACUCUCCACUCCCUGCCAGAUUGUAGCUUCUGUUCACACAUUCCACUGGUCACGCUGCCUGUGUGUUCUGCUCAAACAUCCCUGCCAAGCCUUUGGAGUAUCCUGCCGUGUCCUGUCCCUGGUUGAGCCACGCUCUCCUCCCAAGAAUGGACCAGCUCCCACCUGGCCCAACGCCGAGCCACCAUGCCACUCUCUGCCGCCAGCUUCCUCCGUCCAGCAGUGACGUCUCUGGAUCUCUGCUCCCCAGGAGCCAGCCACCCCCUCCUCCAGCCUGUAGUGAGUUUAGUUCAGUUUCUCCCUCACCCUCUUUAAUUACUCUUGGCGAUUCCCUAUUUCUAGCUUUAGUUCUAGUUGGCUUCCAUUCCCUGAAUUCUAUUAUUCCUGUACCGGUCUCUGUCGGGCUGUGUACUCUCUGCUUGGGUUCUAAUCCACGCCACAACACCUAUGGUCAUGAGCUCUGGGUAGUGACUGAAAGAAUGAGAUUGCAGGUACAAGUGGUUAAAGUAUGCUUCCUCCAUAGGGUGGCUGGGUUCAGCCAUUUAGUGUGGGACUACAGGAAGGUUAAUUUCCUGCUGAUCACUGCAGAGUUCACCUGCUGAUCUAAACUGCCUCAAUAUCGAUUGAAAAAUCAGACGAAAAGGAACAGUUCCAAGUGCAAAAAAUGACAGCCCUGUUUCAAUCUUUCCAUAAUCCUGUUUGAACACCAAAGUUGUUUGAAAGAUUCUCUGUGUGAGAAAUCAGAGCUGCUCCAUCAGUGAUGUUCUGAUCUGCCUUCAUGUGACAUAAAGGAAUAUAUUUAAGCUAACAUAAACAAUUUAAACAAAACUCAGUAGUUGUUUAAGCUAGUUGUAGUGAUUUUAAGCUGAAAUCAACAGUUUUUUAAAAGCAAAUAUCAGUUUUAUCAAUCUUAAACUAAUAUCAGCUGUUUAAACUUGAAUCAACAGCAGGUCAACACCUAUUUAAGGUAACAGUGGUUUAAGCUGAUAUCAGCAAUUAAAGCAAUUAUGAAACAGCACACAUGCAGGUAAACUGACGACAGACACAGUAAGUUUUUAUUUGGACUCUCUUUUUAUUGUCAGGUCAGAUUCUCUGAACAUGAGAAACCAGAGAAAAGAUUCUGAUUGACUGUCAACGUCCACAGACGCUUAGCUCGUGAAGGAGGAAGACGAAGUGGAGGAGGAAGUGGAAACCACCUUUCCAUCAACCACCUCCUGCACCACUGUCACCACACGCUUGGUUGAGGUGCUCGACGAAGAAGUGCUGGUGACACUGUGAACCAAUCAGAAGAUAGAACAGCUUAGUUUCUGAGACACCUGUUAGCUUCAGUUUUAGCCAUUACACCUGCGCUACAGUCUCACCUGCUGAUUUUUAGCAAUUGUGAAGGCAACCAUCAGCAGCUUUUUAAGCUAAUUUCAGCAGCUGUUUAAGCUAGUAUCAGUAGCUGUCUAAACUAGUGUCAACAAUUGUUUAGGCUAACAUCCACAACUGUUUAAGCUAACAUUGGCUGCUGUUUUGGCUAAUAUCAGCAGCUGUCUAAACUAGUAUCAAUAAUUGUUUAGGCUAAUAUCAACAGCUGUUUAAGCUAAUAUCUGCAGCUGUCUAAACUAGUAUCAACAAUUGUUUAGGCUAACAUCAACAGCUGUUUAAGCUAACAAUAGCUGCUGUUUUAGCUAAUGUCAGCAGCUGUUUAAGCUAACAUUAGCUGCUCUUUUAGCUAAUGUCAGCAGCUGUUUAAGCUAAUAUCAGCAGCUGUCUAAGCUAGUAUCAACAGUUGUUUAGACUAACAUCAACAGCUGUUUAAGCUAACAUUAGCUGCUCUUUUAGCUAAUGUCAGCAGCUGUUUAAGCUAAUAUCCACAACUAUUUAAGAUAAGGUAUUAUAAACUGUUUAAGCUGUUUUAGCUCGAGGAGAGCACGGUGCAGGUGAUUCCGUUGGACCAGUCAGAAAACAGAACAGCUGAGCCUCACCUCUCUCCAUCCAGCAGCCUCCUGUACUCUGCGAUCUCCAUCUCCAGCCUGGUCUUGAUGUCCAGCAGCAUCUUGUACUCCUGUCCCUGCCUCUCCAGGUCAGCCCUCAGCUGCACCAGUUGCUCCUCCAAGGACGACACCUGGAAGCCGAGCACAGAAACAUUCACAGGUGAGAUCAGGUGAAAAGGCUCCACUGGUUUGUUACCUGAAACAAACAGGAAGUCAAUGUUUCACCUGCAUCUGGUAUCCAGACAGCUGCAUGGCGUAGCGGCUCUGUGUCUCAGCCAGUGUCCCCUCCAGCGUCGCUUUCUGCACAGCAAAGAAUAAAAUCAGUUUUCAAACACUGUUCAUACCUGAAGAUCACAGGUGUUUAACGGUCAUGUGACCCUCACCAUACUCAGCAAGGACUGUAGCUCGAUCUCCAGAGACUGUAGUGUACGUUUGACCUCUGUGACUUCUGAGCGGGACGUCUGCAGGACGGUGGUCUGAGUCAACACCUCUUUGUUCAGAGCUUCCGUCUGCAGGAAAAUCACACCUGUUCAGUCCACAUGCAAACACUCAGGUGAGCUGUGUGUCAGCGGUAAGAUGUCGCAGUGGUACCUUUGUCUGGAACCAGCUCUCCAGCUCCUUCUGGUUCUUGGCGGCAACGGCCUCGUAGUGUUCUCUGAUCUCGGCCAUGACCUUGGAGAGGUCCUCCUGAGGAGUAGCGUCCACCUCCACAUGGACCUGACCGCUCAUCUGGGAGCGCAUGGCCAGCAGCUCCUACAACCCACAACCAGCGUCAGACCAACAUGUAUAUGGGUAGCUAACCGUUGCUCAAGUCCGAGGCGAAAUCUAAUGAUCAUUUUCAUCAAUUAGAUUUUCCAGAGUUCAGUGAGACUUUAUGUUUUGUCUAAAACCAAAACGAUCGAGUUUACUGAUAGAAAAAGACAGCUGUUAUUUAAGAUAUUGUCAACAUUCAGGCUAAAAAGUUAUUUAAGCUAAUAUCAACAACUGUUUAAGCUAAUAUCAGCCGCUCUUUAAGUUAAUAUGAACCAAUGUCUAAACUGAUAUCAAAAGUUUUGGCUAAUAGCAUGUAUUUAAGCUAAUAUCAGCAGUUGUUUAAGUUAGCAUCAACAGCUGUUUAAGGUAAUGCUAAUAUAAAGCCAAUAUAAACAGUUAUCUAAGCUAAUAACUGGUUAAGCUAGCAGGUGUUUAUGCAAACUGUAUUACUAUUACUAACUAUAUUACCUUAAUUAUUGAUGAAUUAUCAUUACUUAUUAUUAAUUAAAUACUAACUAAUCAUCUAAAUAGAUGCAGUUCUGUGUGCAGACGUUCGUUGAUAUUUUUUAGUUUCAGUCUAAGUUUAGACAUCCAGGGAUACUGUGGACACAGUUAUUGAUUGAGAAUACAAACUGAGUAACAGCUGAAUGUUUUUUGGGGGGUGUCACCUGCAGAUAUAAUCCAUAAAUCAAUCCAUCAAACAUUUGCAUUGAUUGUUUUGAGGCGCACUCACCUCCUCGUGGUUCUUCUUGAGGAAGAUCAGCUCCUCCCUCAGGCCUUCGAUCUGCAUCUCCAGGUCAGUUCUGGCAAGAGUCAGCUCGUCCAGAACCCUCCUGAGCCCGGCGAUGUCGGCCUCCACCGACUGACGCAUGGCCAGUUCAUUCUCGUACCUGCAGGGGGCGACGGAGGCAGGACAGAUGUGGACUCAUGUUUAAUCAGGUUUUUGAAGCAUUUAAUCAGGUUUAUGUAGGCUUUAAUGAGAUUAAUGUGGGAUGUAAUAAGGUUUAUGUAAGGUUUAAUCAGGUUUAUGUAAGGUUUAAUCGGGUUUAUGUAAGAUUUAAUCAGGUUAAUGUAGGGUUUAAUGAGAUUCAUGUAGGGUUUAAUCAGAUUUAUCUAAGGUUUAAUCAGGUUAAUGUAGGGCUUAAUCAGGUUAAUGUAAGGUUUAUUCGGGUUUAUGUAAGAUUUAUUCAGGUUAAUGCAAGGUUUGAUCAGGUUUAUGUAAAGUUUAAUCGGGUUAAUGGUCGGUUUAAUGAGAUUAAUAGGGUUUGAUCAGGUUUAUGUAAAGUUUAAUCAGUUCAUGUAGGGUUUAAUUGGGUUUAUGUAGGAUUUAAUCAAGUUAAUGUAGGGUUUGAUGAGGUUAAUGAAGGGUUUACUUAAUGUACGAAUUUACUUAAGACUUGACUCCUCCUCCUGCUACCGUAACUCCAGCCCUGCUACUGUUGCUCCUCCUCCCUUUGCCACUGUAAGCCCACCCAUGUUUCUAUGAUCCCACCUCCUCCUGUCUGUGUUUCUGGACUCACUUGGUUCUGAAGUCGUCGGCAGCCAGGCGGGCGUUAUCAAUGCUCAGAUGGACGGAUCCGUUCAGCCUGAUAGCAGCCUGAAUCUGGAGAAACAGGAAGAUGGUCGACUCAGAGUGCUGAUACUCUAAAGUACUUCAUGUUACUCAUACUGUUGCUGCGAUACUUUCAUAUAUUAUCAAUCAGAAGAACUCUAUUAAUCCUUAUACUCCAGUAUUUAAACUCAGGGCAGAAGUUUUACUUGUACUGAUAAGUGUAUUUUUCAAAAAUGCAGAAAUCUAUUUUAAAAAAUUCCCAAAAAAGGUUAGUUUAAAAAAAAAACAUUUCCAACUCAUCAAUUAUCAUUUUAAAUAACGUUUUUUCCUGUGAUUGUAUUAGAAAUUAUCUGUAAUUUAUCAAAAAAGUGAAAAUGUGCAAAUCCAAAAUUAGCUAAAAUUAUUUUUUUUACAGUGUAGCAUCAGUUUUUGCACAUUAAAUCGAUGAUGCAUUUUCUCUUGCAUUGCACGUUUUAUUUUCUGUUUGUAAAAUUAUUAAAGAUGAUUAUCUGAAUUUUACUGCUUGUCAGGAAACUGAUCAGUCAGUCAAUUAAUUCAAAGAACUUCAGGGAAAGGCAGCUGCACUUCUGGGUUUUACAAAAUUUAGAAACAUUUUUGGUCAAAUUUUUAGACAGUUUGAACAGUCUUACAAUUGAUUUAGGCAAAGUUUUGAGAAUUUCUGGACAAAUUUUGAGUCAAUAUGUAUAAUCUUUACAUAAUUUUGAAGAUGCUUUUGCCAUUUAAUUGUUUUUAAUCAUUCUGGACAAAUUUUGAAACAUUUUGGACAGGUAUCGAGUCCAUUUGGACAAAUUUUUGGAUGAUGUGUAAAAUCUUUGCAUCAAUUUGGGUACGUUUUUGCAGAUGCAGCUGCACUUUACUGAAUCUCUUUGGAUAAAUGAACAGAUUAAUCCGUUUCCUGAGUGCUGGAACCUACAGAAUCUACAGAAACCGACAGAAGUGGUGAUUGGACGCAGGGUGAGGAGGUUUUUACCUUUGCGGUGAGGUCUCCGAUGGUGACGAAGAAGGCGGAGUAGUCGCGGGUGGAGGGUCCCACUUUGCUCUCCAAGUACUGCCGGAUCUUCAGCUCCAGCUCGGCGUUGGCCUUCUCCAGCGAGCGCACCUUGCCCAGGUAGGUGGACAGACGGUCAUUCAGGUUCUGCAUGGUGAACUUCUCGUUGCCGAUCAGGCUGCUGUCGCUGCCGGACACGCUGUAGCUCAUGGAGGACGAGUAGCCGCCACCAGCACCACCACCACCCAUGCCGAAGCCUCCACCCAUGGAGCCAGAGGAGAUGCGAACACCACCUCCAGCGCCGCCGUACACGCUGCCGGCCUUCAUCAUGGACAGCCGGGAGCUGCCGCCGCUGCUGCCGCUCAUGGAGCCGCUGGAGCUCAUGGUGGUCCUGACGGAGCGUGUGGUCAUCAUGGUGGAUGCUGCUGCUGUGGAGUUGACACAGAGGAGAGUGAGGAGCUCAGAAACUGGCUUCCUUUUAAAGCCAGAGAGCCGCCCAUCAUUCAGCGGUGACCUGCCAGGUAUGCAGGCGUGGCGGGGAUGGUCAGAGAAAUAUGCAAGCUUCUCACUCACUGAUGGAGGCUUUGUUUCAGUGCCAGAGGAUAAGGACCUUUACACGACGAGCAGGUUAUAUAAGCUGCAAAACCUGCGAUACCUGAAGGCUUUUUCUGCAGGGAAAGUUUUAAGAUAAGAUAAGAUAAGAUAAAGUUCUUUAUUUCUCCCCACUCCAGGGGAAAUUUACAUUGUUACAGCAGCUUUAUUUACAAUAUAUACAAGGGUGAAAAAUUUUUUUAACAGAAAAAAUAAAAAUAAAGUUUAAAAGUUUCAAAUAAAGCCUUGCAAACCUCAGCUAACUCCUGAGGAAUGAGCCUGGGUGUGUAAAUGUCACCGAACGCAGGGAUGUCUUAUCAAAUUCCACAUCAUUUGCAUUUAAAAUACGUUUAGUCUGCUACUUCUGUCAUGCACAUGGGAAAGUUUCAAGUUGUCAAAUAAAAACAGUAUUGUCCAGGAUAACUGAAAGGUGUUUCUAAUGACAAAAGGAUGUUCAAAUUGAAUCUACCAUUUUUCAAACCGAUUCAAAAUUAGUUUAAAGCCAUUCAGCAUUGUCAAAUGACAAAAAUAUGCCUAAAAUUAAAUUAAAAGUUUUAAAAAACCACUCAAAAGUUGUCCAAAACAGCUCAACAUUUGUCCACUCCAAAAUUUUGACAAAAGUAUCUUCUAAAUCUAAAAUUCAGAAUUCCAUCAAAACCAUUCAAAAUUGGGAUAAAAACAUGUUGAGAAGUGACAAAAACAUUAUCCAAAAUGGUUCAAAGACUUUUCACACUGAGUCAAAAUUUGUCCACAAUGACAAAAUGACAAAAACUUUCAAAAGUGACUAAGAUUUUUCCGAGUGACUCAAAUUUUCUAUGUUUUGUGUCGGAAUGCGAGGAAACUCCCACAGUUGUGAAAUAUAUUUUCAUGCAUUUGCUUUCGCAUGGCUGCAUAUGAAAACAUUAAAAGAUGUUUCAAAAAGAGCAGCACCAAAAUACAGAGCUGAAGACGAGGAAUUUGCAGCAGAAAGUUUUCACUGCUGAGACAGAAGCAGGUUUGAGUCGAGUCGGUCCCUGGUGUUCUUUGUCUUUUUUUAAUCUUGUGCAUUUGUUGGACAAACAAUGGAGCUCUAAGGUUCGAUAAAGUCAGUUUGACCAGGUUUUUUAUCUGUGUGGCUCGACUGAUGAAGUGGCCAAACUCUGCGUCUAAUACAGAAUAACCUUCACUGUGCUUUGUGUUAAUAUCUUAUCGGAUGGUGAUUUAUUACUCCUCCAGUUAUCAGUUCAGCUCAGAGCUGCUCCACGUACAAAACAUAUUUCAUUAUUUAUAACAGCUUUCAUUUGCUGCAUUUUCUGAUUUGUCUUGUAACAUCGUCUUUUUUAAAAAUCUUUGAUCCUUCCUAAAAAAUUUUAAAAUUUAUAGGUCCAAAAACUGUGUUGUUGUCCUAGUUUAAAUCAUGAUAUCAUGAUACUGAAAUAGUACCACUGAAGAAGCAUUUUACUGCGUUAAAACAACACACAGACUUGUUGAUAUUGGAGAGAUAAAGUCAUUGGGCACAGGUACACGAUGUGAAACAAAACAGUGCAUUCUGAUAACAAGUGAAGUGACUCAGCAGAUUUUGUUCAAUUGUCUCUAAAUUUUGCACUUUUCCAAAAUGACUGGAAGAUUUUUCAAAUUGAUUUAAAAUGUGGCUGCACAGUGGAGUAGUGGUCAGCACUUUCACCUUGCAGCUAGAAGCUCCCCGGUUCAUGUCCCGGCCUUCCUGGGAUCUUUCUGCAUGGAGUUUGCAUGUUCUCCCUAUGCAUUCGUCAUACGUCUUUUCCAAAAACACAUGUGGACUGGCUGAUUGAACUCCCAUGACCCCCUCAGCAGCUCUGCAGGGUAAAGAGCUGAUCCAUUGUUACACAACCAGGAUGGAAUCUGUAUCAGUCCUCUUGAAUCUGAGGUCCAGCACUCGUUGGGAGCCUCCUUUCCAGCACCCUAGAGUAAAUUUUCCCAGGGAGGCUGAGAAGUGGGACAUCCCAAUAUUUGGAGUCCACCAUCCGGUCCUCCUUUUUAAUAACGGGAACCACCACCCCUGUCCAAAGCUCCACAGGUACAGUACCCAAUGACCACACAACGUUGAAGAGUCGUGUCAACCAAGACAGUAGAACAAUGUCCAGAACCUUUAGCAUCUCGGGGUGAAUAUUAUCAUAUAAUACAGCCACUGAAGAGCUUCUUAACUACCUCAGCAACCUCUACUAUGGAAAUGGACCAAGAUUCCCCCAAGUCCUCAGGCUUUCCUUCCUCAGCAGAGGACAUAUUGACCGGGUUAAGGAGUCUCUCAAAGUGCUCUUUCCACCGUCCAACAAUGUCCCCAGAUCGGGUCCUGAAUGUACUCAGUCUUGGCAAAGUGCUGCCUCCCCUUCCUGAGGCAUGGAAUGUUGUCCGGAACUUUCACGAGGCCAGCUGAAAGUCCUUCUCCAUAGCCUUACCAAACUCUUCUCACACCCAAGUUUUAGCUUUCGCAGCUGCCACAACUACAGCCCUCUUGGCCAACCGAUACCCGUCUUCUGCUUCAGGAGACCCCCGAGCCAGCUAGGACUGAAAAGGCUCCUUUUUCAGCCUAACGGCUUCCUUCACAGCAGGUUUUUAGGUUGACAGGCAGCAGUGACCUUCUGACUACAGCUCCAAAUAGCUGCUUCUGUAAUGGAGGUUUUGGACAUGGUUCACUCAGAUUCCAUCUCCCCAACCUGCCCCGGGAUGGUGGAGAAACUCUUCUGGAGGUGGGAGUUAAAAACCCCACAGACAGGGUCCUCUGCCUGAUGUUCCCAGGCCCUGGUUCUAUUAUUCCAGAUGUCAAAUUUUCUGAAAUUCAUGGAACUUGAAUGGCUCUGCUGCUCAAAAAAUUUGCUUUUUCCCCAGUUUUCUUAAAUGUGACAUCAUGGUACUGGAAUAGUGCAUCACUGUGGGAAGAUUUUACUGCGUUACAAUAACACAAACUUGUUGAGCUCAGGGUGACAAAGUCAUUAAUCGCAGCUUCACGACAUGAAAUGCAAAAAGUGACUUAACAGAUUUUGUACAAUCAUCUUUAAAUUUUGUACUUAUCCAAACUGUCUCAAAAGUUGUCUUAAAGUACAAACAGGAGCAAAACAUUAAAAAAAACUAGUCCAAACUGACUACAAUUGGCCCAAACAAUUCAAAUUGUCCAAGUCCACCCAGAAUCUGUCUAAAACGCCAAGUUUGUUGAAAAUGACUUGAAAUUGGUCUAAAAUUACCAAAGCAUGUCUGAUUCUAUAAGUGGCCAAAAUGACACAAAAUUGCUCCAGUGGACUUCUCAAAAUGUCUACAAACGUGUCCAAAUGACAUCUGUUUGAAAUGUGUCCAAAAAUGUUUCUAUAUCUUAUAAAACUUGUUGCACAAACCAGCUGCUUCUGAACCGCUAAUACAGUUAUUCUGGUUCAGCUAAUUAUCUGUGUGGUUUAUCUGAAAAACCCACAGCAUUCUUUCAGCUGUCACUUUUGUGUCUGUGGUUGAAACUAUCAUAAAUUGUCAGCAAAUUAAAUAGCAUCUUCUGAUAUUUUAACACUUUAUUGGUUGAUAACACAGCUGUCAGCUCAGAAAAUUGUUUAAUUUUGUCUAAAAAUGUGUAUUAAGCAGUAAAACAGUAAAGCAGUAAAACAGUAAAAUCCUCCUCGUUUGCAGUAAAAGUGAUUCUGAUUGAUUUGUACUUUACCUGCAGUUUAGGAUCAAAACACUUCCCAUGAAUGUUAGUUUCACUAUUAUUGUGCAGGACUUCUCACAAAUAUUUCAGGUUUCAGUAAUAACAGGGCUGCAGGUGCCUCAGGACAGAAAGUUAGCCUUUAAGGGUCGACUCAGUGAAACCUGCUCAUCCAGUACACCUGCUUUACUGCAGUUCUCUGGAAGAACGAACUUUUCUGACUGACAAACAUUCGUGACACAAUUAGAAGUUCUUUGGAACUUGAUUUUGGAAUGAAAUGGCCCAUCAGCUCAACAGACAUUCACAGAUUAAACAUAUUUCUGAGGCUGUUCAGCUGAUAUUUUUAUACUUAAAAUUAUAAAUUAAUGCAGAACAAAGCAUCUCCAGACUAUUAAAGCUGUUUUGAUUUUGUAUUUUGGGACAUUAAAGCUGCUGCAGCAGUAAGAACUGAACUGAUGAUGUGCAAAAUGUUGAUUUCAAAGCUUUGUUUCUAAAUGUUCCACUGUCAACAAUUUAGAACCAGAAUGAACCUUUAUUUGAUCCGUCAGACGCGUUUCCUGCUGCAUUCAGUGUUUGAUCAUAUUAAUCAAUAUGAAAAUAUAACUUCAUAUCAGGUCUGCUUCACUUAUAGAAAUUUACCUUAUAAGAUCACUUCUUAGAUUUGCAUUUUAUUUUGUUUACAUGUUCAGAAAACUCCAAAAUCACCAGCUGAAGAACCUCUUUAUUCAGAGGAUGGUUCUACUUUAAGUGAUUCUUUAAAGGUACUCCAUGUUUGUUAAAAUAACAACAUGAAAUCAGAAAUAAUUCGAUUCUGUUUCUAAUGUAAGGAGCCAAGAACUGCUGCAGUCUUGCUUUUUUUUUUUUUUUUUUUUGCUUAAACUUUAGUUCAGUAUCAAGUCAUGCUGUCAAAGUAACCAGCCAAUAACUACUCAAAAAAGACUAAAUGACAAAAUUAAAAGUGACUGAAAUUGUCCAAAAUUACUCAGAAGUUGUGAGUUUACUCAGAACUGUCCAAAUUGUCAAAAAUCUGUUUAGAAAUGAAUACAUUUUGGAAAAAAAGAGCUCUUGGUGGCAAAACUUGACUAGAAUGACUCAAAAAUUGUCUUAAAAAACCAUCCAGAGUGGCACAAAAACUGCAAAAAAGUGACUUGAAUCUCAAUGACUUGAAAUGUCAUGAGAUGUCCAGAAUGACAAAAACCUGCCAGUAUUGACUCAAAAGACUUUUUGAAAUGAAUUCACAAAAACUCCUCAACAGUGACUCAAAAUGUUCUUGAAAUGAUCGAAAUCAUGUCUGGAUUUCUAAAAAACAAAUGUCCAAAUAGAUGAAAAUGUGUCCCAAAACGUCUGUAAACGUGCACUAAGUGACCAAAUUCACUCAGGAUGACUCGGAAUUAGUGAAUUGGGGUUCUGAUUUGGGUUUCUCCAUCACUGUAAAGGACCACUUUUGUUUGUCUGUCUCUGCACUUUCCUGUUGUUCACUUGUUUGUUUAGUCAGGGUCCUGAACUAAAGGUGUAAACUUCUAUUUUCCGUUGGUCGUUCUGUAAAAGCCUGCUCUCUGCCCUGCAGCUUGAAAAGUGUUAUACAAGUAAAAUAAUAAUUUGUGCUCCGAGCCGCUCCCUGUUUCUGCACCUUAGUACUAUCAGGUGUUUGCUAACUGGAUAUCUAAUCAGACUUCAUUCUUUACAAGUCUUGUUUGCACACCUGAGGCCCUGUGACCUGCACUCCCCCUCACCCCCACUCAUUCCUCAGUCACACCCAGACCUCGGCAUCUCGUCUUUCAUCAUCGAGGCUCAGAGCCAAUCACACCCCACAAAGAUUCAUUACCCAUAAAACUGAGGUGGAACUGUGCGAUCGCUCUGUUGCCACUAGUGAAUGUGGUUGAACCCGUCUGUUCACCCAGAGACCUCAGACCCCAGUGAUGGAUAACUUCCACUGUGACAACACUCUAAUCCGUCACUCAGCAGGGAUCUGUGGCUUUGAUCCGCCCUGCAGACUGGACCGGUUGGUUUGCAAACCUGAACCCGGUUCAGAACUCGCUUCGUGCCAGAACAAUGGUUUGCGAAACCCUGCAGGUGUGCAGCAGGUGCACGACUACAUUUGGUUCUGAAAUCAAGCGCCAUGUGAGGAUACAGACACUCUCAGUAACUAGAACACAUUUAUUAAAGCCAGAAAAAACAAUACAACACUCUCUGGUAAUUCUUAAGUUGAAUCAGUCUUCACGCUCAUGACAACCAGUCACACAGACACCCUUUAAUUAAUUUUGUUUAAGGUUUCAACUGUCUCAAAUGUGCAACAGUGCAGCUCAUUGUUUAACUACUUGAGCUACCAUUAUUUCAACAGUAGCCACUAAUGUUAGCGUGCAUAACAGUACACAGACAAGAAAACCGACUGUUAGCUGCUCGAGCUAACAUUAUUUCAACAAUAAAAGUUGAUGUUAACAUGUACAACAGUCAACAGACAAGAGAGGCCGCUGUUAGCUACUUGAGCUAACAUAAGCUUCACCAACAGAGGAGACCACCAAUGUUAACUUUUUUGAGCUAGUCUUUACUUUAGUCUACUAGUUGAGGCAAAAUUAUUAUCUGAUAAAUUAAUGAGAAAAAAACCAAUAUUAUUACUAUUAUUACUAUUACUAAAUGGAUUUUAUUUGAGGUUUCUACUAUCUGAAACAGUAUUUCAACAGUAGCCAUUAAUGUUAGCAUGAAUAACAGUAAACAGACAAAAAAAACCUGUUAACUGCUUGAGCUGUAUGAGCAGCUUUUAGCUCAAGCUAAAAGGCUAAUAUUAACAGCUGAAACAAGCAUCACUUUUUGGACUAAUGAAAUAAGCUGCUGUUAGCUGUUUGAGUUAAUGCUAUGACAUAUGGAGACACUGCAGUAGCAUCAAACUGUUUACACUGUUAUUAGUUUCUCAGAGUCACAGGAUAGCCUGAAGCUAGCUGCUAGAUGACAAGAGGCCACUGUUAGCUACCGGAGCUAACAUAAGCUUCACCAACAGGGGAGACAGGUGCAACAGGUGCAUGUCUACAUUUUAUUCUAAACUCAAACACAACCUGAGGGCACUUUCAGCAACGACUAGUCAUUUUCAUAAUAAUGGAAAGUACAUUCCAGCACUCUCUCUGGUAUGUUUCUCAUUAGCUGAGACCUCAGCAGCCUAUAGUUUAACUCUGACAUCAGAACCAGCUGUUAGCUACUUGAACUAACUUUAUUUUAACAGUAGCAGUUAAUGUUACCAUGUAUAACAGUAAACAGACAAGAAAGCCACUGUCAGCUGCUUGAGCUGUUUAAACAGCGUUUAGCUAAAGUUAAAACCUUUUAUCAGCAAUUGAAACUAGCAUUACUUUCUUGGACUGAUGGCACAAGCUGCUGUUAGCUGUCUGAGCUAAUGUCACAGUAUGUGGGGUCAUUGCAGAAGCUAAUAUUAGUCGAUAUUAGUCCACAGAUUGAGCUGUUAGUUUUCCAGAUUCGCAUACUAGUCUAAAGCUAGGUGCUUAAAGACAAUAAAAGAAACUGUUUACUGUUUGAGCUAAUAUGUACUUUAUCAACAGAGGAGAAGCUCAUAUUUUUGAGGUAGCAGUUUAAGAUAGCUAUUUCAGUGUCUCAUUGGUUAACAGAAAAAGGUUAAUUUUAGCUUCUGAAGCUUACAUUUGUUUGAUUGACAGGUUAGGCCAGGGGUUAGCAACCUUAAACACUCAAAGAGCCUUUUGGACCCGUUUGCCACAGAAAAGAAAGCACCAGGAGCCACAAAACUCUUUUGACAUUUAAAAUGAAUGUAACAGUACAUAUAUCAUUUUGUCUUUAUGCUACGUAUUAAGAAACUACAGUGUGUUGCAUUUAUGAAAUCAAUGAACUGAACAGAGAAAAUGAAAUUACAUUAACCCUAGCCCUAUGAAUAUAUGCAAAAUGAUUGGCAAAUAAAAUAUUUAUUCAGGUCAGGACUUUAACUCAUUUAUUUCGAUUAAUUACAGAAAAAUAAUGUGUUAAAAAAAUAAUACAUUUAAUCACACCUUUCUUAGUUCCCUAAUUUCUGGCACACCGGUAACACUGAUGCACACUCCAGCCCAGUAGGGGGCGGUAUUGAACCUAAAUUCUGUUUGCCAGCAGUGAAGAAGACACACAGGACGCACUGUAGUGAAUCAGCGUACAAGAAAGUUUGGUGAACAGUGAAGGAAGACGAGACCGCAUUGAGCUUGCUGGGCGGAAAGUUUUCUUUAAAAAAAAACGUCCCAAUGGCAGCUUGGACAGAAACGUGGUUGUCUGUGGUGAUCGAAGAGUUUUCUGAUCACCGCCGAUGGUAUCACCUCAAUGUAAAACAUGUUGCUGUUAACAUCAGAGCUAACGUUAGCUACGACAAUCCCGGUACCAGCAAACGGUGUAGCCAGACCAUCAUAUACUGCUUUUCAAGACACUGAAAGCGUCUGAGUUUACAAAAAGUCUUAAAAUGUUGAAUAUAAUCGCUGUAAUUGCAUUUUGAAUUUGCAGUAAUCUGUGAAUGUAGUAGACAUAAAAAAUGCAGAUUAAAUAUAAAUGAAACAUGUUUUGUUGUUUAAGCUCACAUAUAUGUCUGUUUAUCGAUUCAGUCGUCAACCAACAUUUAUUUGAAUUGGUAAACUUUGCUUAUUGUGUCAAAUAUUGUUAUAUGACAAAAUGUGAUUAAUAACAAUGAAUUAAUCACAACGCCUCUAAUUAAUUAGAUUAAUGUUUUUAAUCACGUCCCACCACUAAUAUUUAUCUUACUUGGCUGAUGUGAUUUUUGCUCCUGAACCUCAACACACAGUGUCUUCACAUCAGGGCUGUAAGCUGUCGACUGUAGGGCUGGUCCGAAUAGCAAUUUCUGGGCUCCGGAUAUUUGGGCCCAAUUAAUGACGACUAUCCGAGUAUUUGGACCCCAAAAUUAAUAUUCGGAUACCACCACAACGACCGAAUAUUUGGAUAUUCGGGUCCAGCCCUGGUCGUCUGUGAGGUGUGAGUGAUGUUUGUUUUUAAGGUAGUUCAUGUUGGAUAAGACCUGCUCACAUGUGGAUGCAAAGAUCCACAGGACUCCAAAUGAAUACUGGCGUGUGGGUGGAUGCCGCACAUUAACGGUUGUAAACAUAUUUUGACAGAUGAAAAAAUUGAACACGUUUUAUUUUGUUGUUAGAAGAUCACCAUAAUCUUAAAAUGUAGAAUUACAUUUUUAAAACUAACAAACAAAAAUAAAAUAAAUUUGAAUUAAAUACUCAUUUAUUUUUCAAAGCCAGAGGGAACCGCAACAGACGGAUGAAAGAGCUAAGUGCGGCUCUGGAGCUGCAGGUAACCGACCCCUGGGUUAGGCUAAAGCGAGUUGCAAGAUGGGGCAGUGGUGACGCAAUGGUUAAGUCUCUGGACUACUGAUCAGAAGGUCAGAGGUUCAAGCCCCGAUGUGGCCACUGUUGAGCCCUUGAGCAAGGCCCUUAACCCUUCCUGCUCCAGGAGCGCUGUACCGUGGCUGACCCGUCGCUCUGACUCCCCCCAAUGGGGAGAUAUGUGAAAAUUUCCCCUCGUGGGAUUAAUAAGGGAUAAUAAAAAAAAAUAAUAAAUGAAAAGAAAGGUGACUGUUAGCUGCUACAAAUUACACUGCUUCACCAACAGAUAAGAGGAGAGGCUAAUGUUAACUGUUUGAGCUAGUAUUAGUUUCACUUAGCUGUUUGAUCUAAGUAAGUGUCUAAUUAACUAAUAAGAGAGGACUAACAGUGGCUGCUGAAACCAGGAUUAUUUUCAGAAAGGGUAAGCUACUGUUUGCUGUUAAUAUCAUACCACAGAGAUUCAGUGAAGAAGAUAUGAGCUUCAGUUCGCUUUUUGAGCUACAAUUAGUGUCUCACUACCUAAAGUGAAAAGAUGAACUUUAGUUGCUGAAACUAACAUUUGUUUCUUGGACUGAUGGCAUGAGCUAUUGUUUGCCAUUUGAGAAGCUAGUGUUAACUUUUUGAUCUUGUCAUGGUUCAAUUUAGCUAUCUGACAAAAAAUGAGUGUCUCAAAAGUUAAUGAGAAUCAAGUGAGAAAAGUCAAAUAGUUGAAACUAAUACUUGUUGUUUGGACUGAUAGGAUAAGCCAUUGUUAACUGUUUGAGCUAAUGUGAUAACAUGUGGAUUGAUUGAAAAAACUAAUAUGAUCUCAUUUCAGCCCACAGGACAUUGAAGGUUCCGCUCAGUUCUUUAUAUGCAAAUCCUGAUGGUGUGACACAUAAGAUAAACUAGAAAAAUUUGGCUGCUGUUUAGUGUUACCUAACCCCAGAUGCUAAUUAGCUCACACUGUGAGGUGAACCGAUUUUUAGCAAAACAUGACCAUGUUAAUAUGCAAAUAAAAAAUGUGUGCUUAACCACAACAUCAACCAGAGCAAAUCUGGUUUUUAGGAGCUGGCAAACCAGCAGUAUUUUUAUUUUCAUAUCUUUACAGGUGGCUAAACUUUUGAAAUGCUGAUAGCAUCGCAGCUGUCACGGUUUUAUGUUUUUAAUUACAGAUGUGAAACUUAAACCAGUUUUUAACCCUCAGGACUGUUGGAUCGACUCCAGCUUCAAAUGUCAGAGAUGUUAAAGGUCUGGCUCAGGGCCAAAAAAUAAAUAAAGCAAUGAAAAGGACUCAGAUGUGAAGACAGAGCCAGCAGUCACUGACAAACAGCACAAAGGUACCUGUACUAGUCCAACCCAACAAUACAAUAUAACGCUGAGGUACAAACAGACAGGUUCAUGACAAAACACAACAUAGACAUCAAAAUGGAUCUGCAAAAGCAUCAAGCAACAAAGUUAAAAAAGUAAGAACACUAAGAACAACACCAAGCCCUAAAAGAUGAUAUUUCCAUAGUAUUUCAGAGACGUUUGAAGUCCUCCAGGGGAAUCAGGUUGGACAGCUUCAGACUCUGCUGUAGUGAGUUCCAGGUUGAGGGAGGAGAGUAAGAACAAUCUAUUUUGCUGAGCUCUGUGCAGACUGAGGGGACAGUGAAAGUAAUGAAGUCCUGGAAACGUAGACUACGGCCGAACUUUUACGUGACAUGAAGGAGGAUAAAUAUGUUGGCAGUAGACCAAGGAUGGAUUUGUAAAUGAAAUGACACCAGUGGAAAAGUCUGUGCAUGGACAGUGAUGACCAGUUAACCAAAGACUACAAAGUGCAGUGGUAUGUGAGAGGUUUACAGCCUGUUAGAAAUCUAAGUGAUCCAUGAUAAACACCAUCCAACAGUUGAGUGGGUUGAGGCAUUCAUGCAAACAAUAUCUCCAUAAUCAAGUACAGGCAAGAAGAUGACAACAUCAAACCGUUUCCUGGCAUUAAAAGAAAAACAGAAUUUAUAAUAAUAAUAAUAAUGCAUUUUAUUUUUAAGUGUCUUUCUUGACACCCAAGGACACUUUACAAAGAAAAACUAAAAGAAAGAUUAGUAUCAUCAAUCAGUAACCAGUCCCUCCAGGAUUUUGAGACUGUUGUGAUCUAAAAUGCCAGAAUUAACGACAGCUUUUCUAAAAAAUUGCGAUGUAAGUUGCGAUGUUUUGAGCAUAUUUGCUGCGAUGAAAUUGCAGUGAAAAUAGUGCUAACAGAGGAUGCAGAGCAGGUGGAUCAAUUUCUAACUUUAAAUCAUCAACAACACUCUCAACACAAACAUUCUCUGGUCAUCUCUUGUGUCUCACCUGCUGGUUGUUUGCAGUCUGAGCUCUAAUUUGAAGCAUCAGUGACAAAAAAAAUAUUUUACUUGUAUUAUUUUGACAUUUUUUUUUCUAAUUUUAUGACACAAUGCUGAAAUAAAACGUGUUUUAAUAAAAUAUGGUCAGAGAAAAAUAUUUUCUAGUGAUUCAGUUUAUAAUUAAAAAUCAACAGAGACACAGAGUUGAUGUCAGACUUUUUAUUUCUACUCAGACAGACUCAGUUUACUGGUUGUGGUUCAGUUUACUGGUGCUAGUCACCUAGUCAGGGGUGGACUGGGGCAAAAAAUCAGCCCUGGCAUUUUUGGCUCAGACCAGCCCACAGCAUUAUUGGCUGACUGAAUGAAGCGCAGUGGGGUGGGGGGUAUUUGCUACUCCUACCAAGAUCUGCAUCUGCAUUCACUCUGUUUCUCCCUGUGUUCUUUCUCCGAGUGUCCCUGGUUCCAGAGCUGGAUGUUUCAGAUCUGUGGUUGUUCUCCCACCAACUGGUUUAGUCUCCAUCAUGUCCACUAUGGGAUGCUGCUGCUGACCUUCCUCCCACCCACUGCUUCCAGCUGCCUAUUUCCACCAAUCUACUCUGCAUCGCCUUUACUAUACUUGAUAUGCUCAUCCGGCCAGCAGACAGAUGGGUCCCCCCACAUUAGAGCCAGGUUCUGCUCAAGGUUUCUUCCUGUUAAAAGGUAGUGUUUUUCUUGCCAU